GAAAAAGAACUACAAGAACUGCUAAUUCAUGUGCUCCACACCUAACAAUGUGGCUUUUUCN
rnacentral:tRNA from 1 species